CCUAAGACCUAACCAAAGCGAGACUGCUCGCAUUGUUUCUUUGAAGGAUGACAAAUUUUACUUUCUCCAUCCAUCCUACCCCUCAAGUACAGGCACUUGAUGUUGACACACAUUCCAUCCUAGCGCCCCUCGACAGCUUUGAAGACAUUAUUUCCUACAGGUCAUUCCGAAUCGUGUAACAUACAUACACUGCAGAAGGAUUCGUCACUCCUCUCCCCCUCAAACAUUCGUGGGAUUGUGGAGGAGAACUCUCUCUUGACACCACUUAUUUCUUACCUAAGGCUCAGGAACUGCCAAACCAACAAUUCCCAGAUGUCAGCGUUACACGCUCCAAACGCGACUGCCAGUGCUCACGCUUGUCCCCUUCUUCAGCUUAAACCCCAGAACAAAACACUCCAACUCUGGAUGAUAAAGAGCCCGUUCUGAAA